CAAGUUUGGCACAAAGCCUUGAUUAUUCAUCCAUAUUAACAUUAUUCAAGAAAUAAACCUGAGUCUUUUGUUGAUUAACCCAAUGCCUAGAGAAGUAACAGAAAGUAUCCAACACAUACUUCAGACAGUCAACACCUUUCAUAUAUGCCCUACAAAGAGGUUUUAGAUCAUCCGCAAAAAAAAUGAGAAACUUCUAGACCUCUACGAGAAAGCAUGAGUGGUUCCCAACAAUGUUGUUCGACUACCAUAUCAAUCAAUUGUCCUAAACGUUCCAUACCUAAAACAAAAAAAAUACGGAGUCGAAGGAUCACCUUGACAAACACCUCUAGAUGGAUUAAAUGACUCCGUGACAAGCCUAUUCCAAUGUAAUUGCAUGGAUGAUGAAGAAACGCAAUCCAUUAAAAUCCACACUAGAGCUUCCGGAAGUCUCGCAUCAAACAAAGUUCUUCGUAAAAAAUUCCAUCUAACCCAAUCAUAAACUUUCUUCAUAUCGACCUUUACAGCCAUCCAGCCCUUCUUACUCUUUAUAUUUUUCAUUGUAUUAAUAGCUUCUUGUGCCACUACUAUGUUAUCC
rnacentral:lncRNA from 1 species